AUUUUAUGCAUGUUCACUUAGGACUGCUAGAACACACCAAAACCUGUUAUUGCUUGGCUUGACUCUGUGAACUCUGAUUGCAUCUUGAUUGUUAGCAUCACACCCAUUUGGAUUGACAACCUAAAAUACUACAACGACAUGUUUGGUGUUUUAGGAUAAUUGACUAAAAACCUAUUAUCAAUUUGGCGCUGUUGCCAAUUGGGUGUUUGUUUAUUA
rnacentral:sRNA from 1 species